rnacentral:rRNA from 1 species
UAUGGUGGCCACACCAGCAUGUCAUUGCCCGAUCCCAUUAGAUCUCAGAAGCUAAGCAGGUCUGGGCCUGGUUAGUAGUUGGAUGGGAGACCACUGAGAAUUCCAGGUGCCGCAGUGG